GACGUAGGGUGCAAGCGUUGUCCGGAAUUAUUGGGCGUAAAGAGUUCGUAGGCGGCCAGACAGGUCCGUUGUGAAAACUCGAGGCUCAACCUCGAGACGCCGAUGGAAACCGUCUGGCUAGAGUCCGGAAGAGGAGAGUGGAAUUCCUGGUGUAGCGGUGAAAUGCGCAGAUAUCAGGAAGAACACCCGUGGCUAAGGCGGCUCUCUAGUACGGUACUGACGCUGAGACGCGAAAGCGUGGGGAGCGAACAGG
rnacentral:rRNA from 1 species